rnacentral:rRNA from 1 species
UACGUAGGGGGCAAGCGUUGUCCGGAAUCAUUGGGCGUAAAGCGCGCGUAGGCGGCCCUGUAAGUCCGUUGUGAAAGUCAAAGGCUCAACCUUUGAAAGCCGAUGGAUACUGCAGGGCUAGAGUCCGGAAGAGGCGAGUGGAAUUCCUGGUGUAGCGGUGAAAUGCGUAGAGAUCGGAAAGAACACCAACGGCGAAAGCACUCUGCUGGGCCGACACUGACACUGAGAGACGAAAGCUAGGGGAGCGAAUGGG